AACGAACGCUGGCGGCAUGCCUAACACAUGCAAGUCGAACGAAGGCUUCGGCCUUAGUGGCGCACGGGUGCGUAACGCGUGGGAAUCUGCCCUUUGGUUCGGAAUAACAGCUGGAAACGGCUGCUAAUACCGGAUGAUGACGAAAGUCCAAGAUUUAUCACCAGAGGAUGAGCCCGCGUUGGAUUAGGUAGUUGGUGGGGUAAAGGCCUACCAAGCCGACGAUCCAUAGCUGGUCUGAGAGGAUGAUCAGCCACACUGGGACUGAGACACGGCCCAGACUCCUACGGGAGGCAGCAGUGGGGAAUAUUGGACAAUGGGCGCAAGCCUGAUCCAGCAAUGCCGCGUGAGUGAUGAAGGCCCUAGGGUUGUAAAGCUCUUUUACCCGGGAAGAUAAUGACUGUACCGGGAGAAUAAGCCCCGGCUAACUCCGUG
rnacentral:rRNA from 1 species